CUACGACAUCAGAAGACCACAUGAGGUUCCACUACUGUCAGCCAAGAACAGAAAUCUUGAUCCCCCCAGUCACCAGAUCCGAUAGAACACCUUUCACCUAAGUGAAACAGUGAACCCCAAAGUGCUCCCAGAAUCACAGAGAAAAUCUG